UACGGAGGGUGCAAGCGUUAUCCGGAUUCACUGGGUUUAAAGGGCUCGUAGGCGGCCAACUAAGUCGGACGUGAAAUCCCCAGGCUCAACCUGGGAACUGCGUCCGAUACUGGAUGGCUUGAAUCCGGGAGAGGGAUGCAGAAUUCCAGGUGUAGCGGUGAAAUGCGUAGAUAUCUGGAGGAAUACCGGUGGCGAAGGCGGCAUCCUGGACCGGCAUUGACGCUGAGGAGCGAAAGCCAGGGGAGCAAACGGG
rnacentral:rRNA from 1 species